CAAAGAAGGCGGGGGUGGGGGUAGCAGCAGAAGGAGCUACUCCCCGGCCGCUGCACAGUGACCAGAGCAGCCCGCGAUCAGAGCUCUGAACCCGACUAGUUCCUGGCUUCCUCUUCGGUUCCCUCCUCCUUCUGCAGCGACAACCCCCAGGGUCUCUCCGUAGAGCCUUCGAGAGCCCACGGUGGCCCGGGGCGCCGCGCCCUGACCCGCGCUCUAGGGUCGUGGAGGACUGCGCCCCAUCUGGGAAGACUGCGGCGCUAAGCCUCAAGUACCCCAGGGACACUGAGAAAUCGAAAAACGCGAGUCAGAGCAACUCCCGCCCCCCAGGAGCUGGGAACAAAGACCCCUUUGUUCCAGCUCUGUCCCUCUCCCGAGAGACCAGAGUCCCGUGGGUGUGGUGUCGUGGAGGGGAGGAGACAGGUCACUGCAGGUAACCCGCCUCCGCCUAGAACUUGGGAGGGGGAGGCACCCCACCGUGGUGUCCUAGGUAGCAAAGGCAGCCUGGGGCUCUGGAGGGAGGUGUCCCCCUUCAGGUGCACCUGCCAGCCCCAGCUCCAAGUCAGCUGAGUGCCUGCUACUCGGAUGAUGGGGUCUCUCCAGGUGUGAGGUUUGUGAACUCUCCUCGGCUCCGAAAGGAAUUUCAGCUAUAAACAAUGAUGGACUUGCACAAAGGAUUACAUGUGUCACUUGUUUGAAGAGCUCAUUGACCAUAAAUCUCUGAGGGAGAGGGAAAGAAAGAAUGGGAGGAGGGGAAAGAAAGGGAGCAUGCACUUGGGUUCCAGCAAACCUCAUCUGGAGGAAGAUAAAGCGGUUAUUCCGUAAGAUGUCCGUAGAACUCUUUCCUCUCAAAAAUAAUGGAGAUCAUAAGUGUGCCCCACUUUCUUUGACAAGAGUGCUAUGGAGAACAGAUGCAAUAAUGCGUAUGGAAAUGUUUCAUAAGAUGCUGGACAAAUGAGCCUGGCCAUCAUUAUAAUUAUCUCCUAUUUAGAGAAGUCCAGCCCUUCCGUCAUGGGCAAACGGAUGGCAAAGUAUUCGGCAAUGAGAGUCUACAAGGCAGUGCCUUCUGACGUUCUUUGAAAUAAAAAAGGACAAGAAUUAAUAAAAAAUAUGAUGCUUCAUCAUAAAGGGAUGAGCC
ensembl:lncRNA